rnacentral:rRNA from 1 species
AUGAACGCUAGCGACAGGCCUAACACAUGCAAGUCGAGGGGCAGCACAAGGAGCAAUCUGAGGUGGCGACCGGCGCACGGGUGAGUAACACGUAUGCAACCUGCCUGCAAGCGGGGAAUAACCCGUUGAAAGACGGACUAAUACCGCAUAAUACUAAAUUACUGCAUGGUAAUUUAUUUAAACAUUUAUGGCUUACAGAUGGGCAUGCGCAUGAUUAGCUAGUUGGAGAGGUAACGGCUCCCCAAGGCAACGAUCAUUAGGGGUUCUGAGAGGAAGGUCCCCCCACACUGGUACUGAGACACGGACCAGACUCCUACGGGAGGCAGCAGUGAGGAAUAUUGGUCAAUGGACGAGAGUCUGAACCAGCCAAGUCGCGUGCAGGAAGAAUGUCCUAUGGAUUGUAAACUGCUUUUGCAGGGGAAUAAAGUGCAUCACGUGUGAUGUUUUGUAUGUACUCUGCGAAUAAGGAUCGGCUAACUCCGUGCCAGCCGCCGC